GACGAACGCUGGCGGCGUGCUUAACACAUGCAAGUCGAACGGGAUUUAGUAGACAGAAGCCUCGGCUAAAGAUUACUAAUGAGAGUGGCGAACGGGUGAGUAACGCGUGAGCAACCUGCCUAUGACAGUGGGAUAGCCUCGGGAAACCGGGAUUAAUACCGCAUAAAAUCGUAGAAACACAUGUUUCAACGGUCAAAGAUUUAUCGGUCAUAGAUGGGCUCGCGUCUGACUAGCUAGUUGGUGAGAUAACAGCCCACCAAGGCGACGAUCAGUAGCCGGUCUGGGAGGGUUGACCGCCACCAUUGAACUGGGAACCGGUUCCGACUCCUACGGGAGGCAACAGUGGGGAAUAUUGCACAAUGGGGGAAACCCUGAUGCAGCGACGCCGCGUGAACGAAGAAGGUAUUCGUAUCGUAAAGUUCUGUCCUAUGGGAAGAUAAUGACAGUACCAUAGAAGAAAGCUCCGGCUAAAUACGUG
rnacentral:rRNA from 1 species